rnacentral:misc_RNA from 1 species
GAUAUGAUGAUAUCAGGUUGGUUAGUGGUUGUGUUGAUGCUUCCUGUAACAUAAUAAGUAUUGGCAUAUUUUUAUUGCUUGUAGCCAGAAUGGCCUGAUCUUGUGUGUAUUAGAGGAAGGUUGAGCUUCUUUGAAAUUUGGUUUUUGUUGUUUAACUUUUAAAGUUGGUAUAGUGCUGGCAUGUUUAAAGUUUGUCCUAAUAAAAACAAAAGGUACCAUAGUUAUUAAAGGCUCAAG